CAAGAUUCCAGCACGCACAUACUAACAAAAACAACAUGAACCAAGCCUGUGUUUGCCAAUAGGCAGUGGUUGGAAACGCGGCAGAAAAGAGCGCAACUCCGCAAGAUAAGCUGGGCUUACAAGGUGGUGUGAGAGGCUCUUCCUCUUCUUGGCUCACUCAAUUACCAACGGGAAUAAAGAACUGCCCACGUAGAAUGCACCACUCACCUGCUUAUUUAUUCCUUUUGGCCAAUGUCAUGUUAAGUAAGCUUUCCACAUCUGCUAAAAUAUAUAUUUAUUUUAGAUAUUUAAAUCCGUAGGUUUUGCUCUUAAGGGCGAGACUCCGAGCAAAAGCAACAGGCGACGACGACUAACUGGCUGAUACUUGAGGAACGUAAACGCGUUUUGGUCUAAACGAGAGAGAGAACCUGUGUGAGUGUGCGUGGGUCGCUUACCUGCGCCUCACGCGUGACACGCAGGUAAACCUUAUCGAUAUCAGUCUUUAACCCUUAUACGUUUAGUUCUCAUGGUUUGCUGGAUACCCUUCGUAAAUGUUAAAUGGACAGUAUCUAAAAUAAAAUCAAAAAUACUUUCCCGCCUUCCCGAAAU